rnacentral:rRNA from 1 species
UACGUAGGGGGCAAGCGUUGUCCGGAUUUAUUGGGCGUAAAGAGCGUGUAGGCGGCUUUGCAAGUCCGUUGUGAAACUACGAGGCUCAACCUCGAGACGCCGGUGGCAAACUGACAAGCAUAGAGUCCGGAAGAGGAGAGUGGAAUUCCUGGUGUAGCGGUGAAAUGCGCAGAUAUCAGGAGGAACACCGGUGGCGAAGGCGGGUCUCUGGGCCGAUACUGACGCUGAGGAGCGAAAGCAUGGGUAGCGAACAGG